rnacentral:rRNA from 1 species
AUUGAACGCUGGCGGCAUGCCUUACACAUGCAAGUCGAACGGUAACAGGUUAAGCUGACGAGUGGCGAACGGGUGAGUAAUGUAUCGGAACGUGCCAGUCGUGGGGGAUAACUGCUCGAAAGAGCAGCUAAUACCGCAUACGACCUGAGGGUGAAAGCGGGGGAUCGCAAGACCUCGCGCGAUUGGAGCGGCCGAUAUCAGAUUAGGUAGUUGGUGAGGUAAAGGCUCACCAAGCCGACGAUCUGUAGCUGGUCUGAGAGGACGACCAGCCACACUGGGACUGAGACACGGCCCAGACUCCUACGGGAGGCAGCAGUGGGGAAUUUUGGACAAUGGGCGCAAGCCUGAUCCAGCCAUGCCGCGUGCGGGAAGAAGGCCUUCGGGUUGUAAACCGCUUUUGUCAGGGAAGAAAAGGUUCUGGCUAAUACCUGGGACUCAUGACGGUACCUGAAGAAUAAGCACCGGCUAACUACGU